AUUAAAAAAAAACUUGUUUUCUGUGUCUAACGUUUGACCGUCCGUCUUAUUUAAAAAAAUUAUUAAAAAAAUAAAAAGACAAGUCACGUAUAAAAUAUUAAUCAUGUUUUAUCAUCUAACAAUAAUAAAAAUAUAAAUUAUAAACAAAAUUCAUAUAAAACGGACAGUCAAAGUUGGACACGAAAACCCAUAGUUUAUCUUUUU
rnacentral:pre_miRNA from 1 species